rnacentral:rRNA from 1 species
AUACGUAGGUGACAAGCGUUAUCCGGAUUUACUGGGCGUAAAGGGCGUGUAGGCGGUCUUGCAAGUCAGAAGUGAAAUUCCUGAGCUCAACUCGGGCGCUGCUUCUGAAACUGCAGGACUUGAGUGCUGGAGGGGAUAGCGGAAUUCCUAGUGGAGCGGUAAAAUGCGCAAAUAUUAGGAAGAACACCGGUGGCGAAUGCGGCUAUCUGGCAAGUAACGGACGCUGAGUCGCGAAAGCGUGGGGAGAAAACAGGAUUAGAUGCCCUGUUAGUCCACGCCGUAAACGAUGAAUACUAGGUGUAGGGGGUAUCGACUCCCUCUGUGCCGCAGUUAACACAAUAAGUAUUCCGCCUGGGGAGUACGGCCGCAAGGUUGAAACUCAAAUGAAUUGACGGGG